GCAGUCUGCAACUCGAGUGCAUGAAGCUGGAAUCGCUAGUAAUCGCGAAUCAGAAUGUCGCGGUGAAUACGUUCCCGGGCCUUGUACACACCGCCCGUCACACCAUGGGAGCCGGUAAUACCCGAAGUCAGUAGUCUAACCGCAAGGGGGACNCUGCCGAAGGUAGGAUUGGCGACUGGGGUGAAGUCGUAACAAGGUACC
rnacentral:rRNA from 1 species